GCUUAGGGGAGCUUUGCCCUGUGAACCUGGAAUCUUCUGAUACAGGCGUAUGAAACUUAAAGGCAGUUCUAUCUUGUAAGCUCCUGGAGAUACUGUUGGCUGUGUUGGGCAGCAUCAUACAGGGUGGUAGAAUGGUAGUGUUUUGACACUGCAGUAUUUUUGCAUCACAGGAAUCACAAAGAUGCUGGGGGUAGAGCAGACUGCUCUCCAAAAUACAGCACAUGGGAUCUUGACAUCAAAGCUAUGUGGGAGAAAAUAUCAUUUCCUAUCUAGCCUUUUAAAGAUGCGGUUUGCUGCCAUUAUGCUGCUAGCUGCUCUGUAGUUGCAUUUUUGUAUGGUCUUUCUCAUAUACAUCCAUUGUGCUCUCUGUCUGCUGGAGGGAAUGAUGAUUAUACUUCCCAUUCUGAAUGUAAUCACUCAUCUACCACCAAUCUCGUUUAGGCCAUUCACAUUAUGGCACGUAAGCUUGGUAACUGGAGGCAGUGAAAGGCUUGAUCUUAGUGAGUUACAUUUACAGUUCUCUGAAGGUUCUUGCAACUGAGAUGGGCAAGAUAGGAAAAGGAUGGAUGGUUUUUGGGGAAGAGGCAGCCUCAUACUGCAAGGGAUAUAACUGCAACCUACUCUGGAUCCUGUCUAACCCUACAAUUCUGUGAUUGUGUUUUUUCACUUCUGGCACCUAAGACAGUCAGUGCAGAGCAAGCUCAUGUCUGUCAAUGCCUGCCUGAUCUGGACAUGCCUGAGCUCUCUAUGCAGUCUCUGCAAAACCUCAUGUAAAAGACACUAUGAAUUUAUUGUUUCUUAACAAAUCAUAUUUCAUAUAUGAUUUGAAAUAAUGUAUUUCAAAUUAUUUGAAGUCACUGUAAAUGUUAUAAACGGGUACUGAUAAGAAACUUCAUCCUGACCUUUAUCUGCUACAAAACCUGAUUUAGCUGAAUGCGGUGGUAAUAUUUGCAUCUAAAAAUUACUCUUCUGUGUAUUAAGGCCAACUGUGAAAUUGCUGCCUAAAUUCUUCUCAAAGUCUUUGUAACGCCUCUAGAAAGUAAAGAGCAGUUGAGCAAAACCAGAAGCCGUUUUUGCUCUGUGCUCAUGUAAAUUUUUUAUUGAAGU